AACGCGAAGAACCUUACCUGGACUCGAACGGCUUUGGACCGCUGUAGAAAUACAGUUUUCCCGCAAGGGACUGAAGUCGAGGUGCUGCAUGGCUGUCGUCAGCUCGUGUCGUGAGAUGUUGGGUUAAGUCCCGCAACGAGCGCAACCCUUGUGAACUGUUGCUACCCAGCACUUCGGUGUUGGGGCACUCUGUUCAGACUGCCCUGUGAAACGGGGAGGAAGGUGGGGACGACGUCAAGUCAGGAUGGCCCUUACGCCCAGGGCUGCACACGUACUACAAUGCUCAGUACAGAACGAACCGAAAUCGCGAGGUGGAGGAAAUCACUAAAACUGAGCCCAGUUCGGAUUGUAGGCUGCAACUCUCCUACAUGAAGCCGGAAUCGCUAGUAAUGGCGUAUCAGCUACGACGCCGUGAAUACGUUCCCGGGCCUUGUACACACCGACGCAC
rnacentral:rRNA from 1 species